rnacentral:siRNA from 1 species
GGACGUGGCGGUUGACGGCAA